GAAUCAUAGAAUCGGGAGGGGGGUGCUCUUCCAACUUGAGGACGGACAACUGGAGGCCAGAGGGCGGCUUCCCCUCGCAAACGGAAGAGAACACCCUUUAUUCUGGCCGGAAGGGAACAAGCUUCACCGGCCGCCUGGGACCCCAGGGGACUAUUCAACUGCUUCCUUGGGUCAGUCAAGGCUUUUCUACCAGUGUCCCCCAACUCAAGGCAAACGCUGCUAUUUAUACGAGGUCUUGCUUCUUGGGGCCGAGUAAAUAACAGCUCCUUAAAUGUGCACUUGCUCCAACGGGUCGUGACGCUCGCUUCCCCAUGACUGCGGCUGAAGAUACGGGGUGAAACCCACCCGGGCUCUUGAAUCUUGAAGAAGAGGAGAUCGAGAAGAGGAAAAGCCUGGAGAGAGAGGAAGGACACUUCUUCCCCAGACGUCAGACAGUAACCCAGGCCGCCCAGGGAACCCACACAUUUGCUCCCUCUGUUCUCACUUCUGCCAUCCCCGGCCCCUCCCUCUCUGACCCCAUGGGGUACUGCGCUGCUGCCUGGCCUCUCUCUGCAGGGCCCCGGGGCCAUGCUUGCUCAGGCUGGCACACCAAUGUGACAGUUGUGGGGGCAGGGUCUCAGAGGUGUCCCGACCAUACAUGGAGGGGUGACCGCCUGCAUCUCGUUUCUCAGGGCACAGCUUGGCAGUGAGGAGCCCGCUGGGGCUGCCCUCCCCAAGCUGAAUCCUUCCUUCCACUUGUGCCAGACUGACCUGGGACAAGCACCUGUCACUUUCAUCCUUCAAGAAUCAAGGAGAGCGGCGGCACCUGCCUGUCCCAUGGGGCAGGAUGCAGGUGGAGCCAGAGGCCUUGGGGAGGAGCGCAGGGGACACAGAGAGGUGGGCAAGACUGAACACAGAGACGAGGCUGAUGACCCAGGGUGUGUGUCCUGGGCGGGGAGCACGGCUAAGGGUGGCAGGGAGGAGGGACAUAGUGAGGACGGCCCAUCUCGAGACCCCAUGGCGAGCACUGGUUCAUGACGCUUGCGCAGACUCACUGGCUGUGUCUGAUGCUGGGCUGUAGUUCUUUGCUCUGACUUCCAAAUAGAAAGCUGCUUCGUCCUCUGGUGACCCCCAGCCCCGGGUAGAGCGGGGGAAACAUAGUCAGAGUCCCAAGGGAAGGGAUAUCACCUAUGGAGCCUCUAGGGCUGAGGCAGCUGGUGGGGAAGGCGGCUUCAGGGAGGGUCCCCCUUCCCAGGGCCGGCCCCUCCUGUAACUGCUUAGUUCUUCCAGUUAUAAUAGUUUUAUUAGAAUGUAAUUCACACAUGAUACAAGCCACUCAUUUAAAGUGUAUCUUCUGAUGGGUGUCCGGGUGGCUCAGUCAGUUAAACAUCCAGCUUCAG